rnacentral:rRNA from 1 species
GACGUAGGAGGCGAGCGUUGUCCGGAUUCAUUGGGCGUAAAGAGCUCGUAGGUGGCUCGGCAAGUCGGGUGUUAAACCCCCAGGCUCAACCUGGGGACGCCACUCGAUACUGCUGUGGCUAGAGUCCGGUAGGGGAGCGUGGAAUUCCUGGUGUAGCGGUGAAAUGCGCAGAUAUCAGGAGGAACACCAGCGGCGAAGGCGGCGCCCUGGGCCGGUACUGACGCUGAGGAGCGAAAGCGUGGGGAGCGAACAGG